GCGGAAAAGGUAGCUUGGCGGCUUGUGCUAAAGAAGGGCCUUUGAAGGGUCAACUCCCCUCGGUGACCAGUGGUCCUCCUUUCUGAAGGCUCUUGCUACAAAGGAAAGAUGAGGAUAUUCUAUUUCUUGAUCCCUCUCAGCUACUGGGAGCUGCUUUGUGCCUUGGAAGCCUCAAGCUGAAAUGGAUGUCAGCCUCAAGUUUAACUCCAAGAGGGUUCACCUUGUUUCUUUGAACAAAA
ensembl:lncRNA PRSS23-AS1 PRSS23 antisense RNA 1